rnacentral:lncRNA from 1 species
CCCUUUCUUUGGAAAUAUCAUGAUUCCCGAAAAGGCCACUAUGAAUGCGUUGUAACUGUGCUUUUCCCAGGUCUGGAGACACCCGCCGUUGUUAAGUUUUGGCCCAAACAACCCAAAUCCAUUUUUCUGGCCGUAUCUUUCGUACAAAAACUCUAGACGAACCCAUCCAUUGUCUUAGCAACCCCCUAUGUAUCCUCUUUUAUGUGUAAUAGCUAAAAAAACCUUUCUCCAGUGACAUGCUUUGGUAUCAUAGGUUCUCCUCGGUGAAGAUUCUUUUCUUUUCCCAUAAAUGCUCCUUUUUCUUCCAGUGUGGGAGUGAGCUCAAAUUCGAAGAACCGGAAUACAUUGUUCGACGGAUCCCAAAACUGUACCAAUGUCUCUAUUA